GACGAACGCUGGCGGUGUGCUUAACACAUGCAAGUCGAACGGUAAGGCCCUUUCGGGGGUACACGAGUAGCGAACGGGUGAGUAACACGUGAGUAACCUGCCCUCAUCUCUGGGAUAACAGUCGGAAACGGUUGCUAAUACUGGAUAUGAGCUUGCAAGGCAUCUUGUGGGUUGGAAAGAUUUUUUUUGGUUGGGGAUGGACUCGCGGCCUAUCAGCUUGUUGGUGAGGUAGUGGCUCACCAAGGCUUCGACGGGUAGCCGGCCUGAGAGGGCGACCGGCCACAUUGGGACUGAGAUACGGCCCAAACUCCUACGGGAGGCAGCAGUGGGGAAUAUUGCACAAUGGACGGAAGUCUGAUGCAGCAACGCCGCGUGCGGGAUGACGGCCUUCGGGUUGUAAACCGCUUUCAAUUGUGACGAAGCUUUUUUGUGACGGUAGCAGUAGAAGAAGCACCGGCUAACUACGUG
rnacentral:rRNA from 1 species